GUCAGUGUGUGGUUCCCGGAGAGGACUCAGCCUGAGGAGGUCACUCGUUCACAGCCGCUCCUCCCAUUCUAUCUCUCCCCUUAUUGCAGAACUGCUGUAUGUAUACAGUAGCAGAAAGGACUCAAUUGACUUCAACUGCUGCCUGGUUUUGCUUACAACUUUUUCUUAUAAAGGAACUUACCUCCAUCUGUCUCUUGAAGGGAUUGUUAUCCCCAGUGUAUGAAUGAGAAACAGGAGCAUCAGAAAAAGCAGCUCACAAAAAACCAUAUAAAUCUCCAAUUAGACAAUCAAAGUGGACGCUGGACAAUGAUUAAGUGCUGAUCGGUGGCUGGCUACUUCCUCUAAACUCCACAACUCAUUCGAAAGACUAUGGAGCCUACAUAGUUUCUAAAGACAAACGAUGAAUUUCAAACUCUAGUUCCCCAUCAUUAAGUCCUCUGUUCAUUAGUGCCAAGUAAGCCAACAGUAGAGCCUGGAAAACUCCCUCAUCUGAAUGUAAUCUUUAAUCUCCAGUACAUCUAUCUCACCAUACUUACCACAGGAUAGUCCUGUGUUGCCACCACACUUCCUCACAGUAGAAACAUGGCUACACUAAAGAAAGUGACACUUCGUCCCUCCAAGACGACUUGGAGAAGCCUCUCUGACUUUUGGUUGAUUGUAUUGUUUUGUUUUCUGCUUGUUUCUAUAUCCACACAGCAUGCUGGCAAUAUUUUACAUAAAAUUUUAAGUUAAUAUAUUACAUAUUUCAGGGAUUUAAAAAAAAGUUGAAGGAAGAGAGAAGGAAGGAGGGAACCGAGGGCAGGGGAUCCGUGUGAAGACUUAGCUCUUCCUAGCCACUGCUGGAGACAGUCUUCACAAUUAGGACCCCUUGACUGUGGUGUGAGCGAGAGGGCUAGGUGGGGAUAAAGGGUGAGGAAAGAGGAAACUGAUGAUAGAGUAAGAAGGAAGAAGGGAUGAGAAAGAAGAAAGAAGUUGUUGGAAGAUUCUCAAUGAGUAGAAGCAGGAGAAGAGGGAGAGGAGAGAAGAAGUCCUCAGUAGGUAGGAGUGACGUGAGGAGUGGAUGAGUCAUUUGAAGACCUAUAAACAGUUUUUUCAGAGUUCUCGUGGAGAUUCUGUGGAGGUGCCCAGCAGGAUGGCAGAGCAGUUCUUAUUACAUUCUCAAGAAAGAACCGUCUCUGAGCAGUGACCAAUUGAACUGGAACAUGCUGGAUCUCUUCAAUGGGAUCUGUUCUUCAAAGAUGGAACCUGGAAAAGGAAGAAUGAGAAAUAUCUCAUCGAUUCUUUCUGUGGUGACCCUACAUUGACAUAAUAAGAUUUGGAUGACUUCAGUUGAAUAGAAUAAAUUUAAUGGAUUUUUUUCCAUUUAAUAUGAUUUUUGUUGUACAUUUGUCACAGUUAGGCUUUAUUAUACUGAGGUAUGUUUCUUCUAUUCCGUGUCUUCUGGAUGUGUAUCCUAAAGGGUUGUGGAUUUUAUCAAAAGCCCUUUCUGCGUCUGUCAAAAUGACCACGUGACACAUUUGCAUGAUGUAUCAUAACUAUUUAUUUGCAUAUGUUGAUCCAUCCCUGAAACUCCGGAAUGAAGCCUCCUUAAUCACAAUGAAUGAUCCCUCGGUAUCUUCAAAUAUUUGGUGUGCAAGUUUAUUCUUGACAAUUGUUGCAUCUGUGUUCAGGAGAUUGAUGUAGAAUUCACUUCUUUGUUGUGUCUUUAUCUGGUUUUGGUGUCAGGACAAUGCUGCCUUCUUCUUCCUUUCCCAUUUUAUAGAGUGUGCUGAGAAGUAUGUACACUCUUUUGUAUUUGAAGGUCUCAUAAAUCCAACUUCAUCCGA
rnacentral:lncRNA from 1 species